ensembl:lncRNA
UUUUAAGGUUCUAAGAUAUUAUAAACCAAAGAAUCUGUGAUGCUCAGAUUCACACAUCUUUCCUUUUGUUGUCUCAGCAUCUGUCGAGGGCAUCUACAUCCAUGCUGAGGAGCUGGCAGUCUGAUGGAAGAGGCAGGACAGGGACCCUCUGCUGUCAUGCGAACUGCAUGUUUGCUGGCGUACAGAAUUCACGUCAGCAGGAGCACAGUCUAGACACUGCUCAGCCUGGAUGAAGCCUACAGAAUUGACGCCAGAGGCCAGACGGAGACGAAGCAGUAACUGUCAUGCCUUCUCUGUGCACCCAGCAGUGCCACCACCCGCCCUCUGCUGCUGUAGGUACGAUAUUGGGUGGCACUUGCCCACAAGCACCUCAAAGGCAGAGACGGCCCUGUAACCUCUGUGUUCUUUUUUUAAUGUUAACGUUCAAUAAAGGCAAUGGUACAGUAUUCCUGUGAGUGACUUUUCUUCCUCCCCCACCCCCUCUCAUUCCCCCAGUUCCCCAGCUAGGGCCAGGCCUGGGGAUGCCGAGAGGGAGCUGGGAGGGCAGCGCACCAACCUCAGCUUCUUCAGGCCGGCCCCGGGCUCCAAGGGGCAAUCCCCAUCCCCGGCCCAGAGCCGGGGACAGAACCUCUAGACCAGCCGGCUCUGACCUCAGGGCCCCUCUGCCCCUCUACUCCUCACCUCCAGACAGCUGCCCUCCCACCCCAGGGGAGGCCAGCAGGUCCUUCAAUGGCUGGGGAAACUCACAGAUCACAGACUCAGUGGCAUCUGAGCAUUUCAGAGCUGCUGGUCUUAGAAUUUGUGAUUCAUUACUUAUUUAUUUCCCUAACAGAGAAAUAUUAACUCAUUUCAUCCUUGCAUUGACUCCAUGGAGCAUUAAGGACACUGAGGCACAGAGAGGUGAAGUAAAUUGGCCAAAGUCACGCAGCUAGCAAGCGACAGACCCAGGAUUCGGACCCAGACAGCCCGCCUCCAGGCUCUAGGCUGCUCUCCCCCAAGCCACUGGAAUUGCCUACCUACCGCUGCCCCGCUCUCUGCUCCGUGCCCUUUCCUCUCUCUUCCAGGGGGAGGGGUGGAGGAGGAGACCUGGCUGGCGGGGAAGGCAGGCUACCCCAGACCCCUCCCCACACAUACGGACGUCAAACCUGGGGACCCUUGGCAAGACCUCAUAAACCAAGAAAUCAAGAUGGCCUUUGCCCAAGCCCACCAGUGCCCAGCCAGGCCCUGGAGCUUGGGGAAGGCCUCGGCUGGACCCUGAGGAGAGGGACAGGGUGGGGCAGGGGCCUGUGCCAGCCAGACUCUUGCGCCUGCACACCCUCAACCCCUCCCCGCUCCAUUCCCCUCAAAGAAUCCUCUCGCUGAGCUCCUCAAGCCAACUGGGUGCUCAUUAGCAAGUGCGCUGGAGCGACAGUAAUGGAUGCGUUCCGGUAUGACUCCUAGGGGCAAACUUGCCUCUUGACGCAAAAACAAUAAAAAUAGAAAUAUUCCACCCCUCUCAUGCAGCGCUUUGCUCUUGACAAAUCAUUUUGACUCUGAGAGCUCCUUGUUAUAAAGCUCAUUGUUCCUGGCGUCAAGAACACAGC